GGGUUUAUUUUAUAAUUUAUGUAAUAAAGUAUUAUAUUAUUUCUGUCUGUAUUUACUAGUUCAAGUGCUAGUGAAACGAACAAUAGAAAAAAGAUUAACUUUUAUGUUAAAGUUGUUUUUUUCCUUGUUAACUGUAGUCUGUCGUUAAAAAAGCAAGUAAAAAAAUGCAGAUAAUGACAACAGAACUAUCUUUAGAACUGUUUGCAAAACUUUUAGUUUGAAUACAAAAUACCAAGUGAAAAGGAUACUGGAAAGACUGUUUACUCCUGUCCCAAUCUAACCUAGUGGGUUCAAAAAGAAAGGAUCGCGCUGGAAACAUGAGGGGGUUAAAAGGAUUGGCCCUUUUUGAAUUAACGAAGUCGUAACCAGCUUGUAUGAAAAGAUUUCUCGACGUUAAACAGUUAAUUUUAUUCAACAACGCCAAGAAACAGAGCUCGCUCAAGAAACAGAAAAGAAAUAGAAAGAUGAAAAAAUAUUCUGUUGAAUAA